CGCUUUUAUAUAAACUCUAUGAAAUUAAACUCAUUCGUGAAUAGUUGGCAUAACAUAUAUUGUAUUAUACAAUUGAAUUAUAGCGACUUAUCUUGUUCUUCAAAGCUAUAUACCGGAAGUCACAAACAUUGCAAUGAGUGUUUCUUUUAGUCAUCUUUUGCCAGACUUCCAAAAACCUUAAACCAAAAAACAACAAAAAUGAUUAACUUAAAACCUUCAGAAAACAAUUCUCUACAGAAAUAUUUAACAGCUGGAAACGGCACAGAAAAAUGGCAAGUCGAACAAGAAUAGUGCCGCUCUUUUUGUCAGGUGGUGAGUUUAAAGUGUUCUAAAUUAUUCUUGAACCACCUUAUAUUGUUUUUGGAUACUGC